rnacentral:rRNA from 1 species
GAAUUGACGGGGGCCCGCACAAGCGGAGGAACAUGUGGUUUAAUUCGAUGAUACGCGAGGAACCUUACCCGGGCUUGAAUUGCAGAUGAAGGAUCCAGAGAUGGUGACGCCCUUCGGGGCAUCUGUGAAGGUGCUGCAUGGUUGUCGUCAGCUCGUGCCGUGAGGUGUCGGCUCAAGUGCCAUAACGAGCGCAACCCCUCUCUUCAGUUGCCAUCAGGUCAAGCUGGGCACUCUGGAGACACUGCCACCGCAAGGUGUGAGGAAGGUGGGGAUGACGUCAAAUCAGCACGGCCCUUACGUCCGGGGCUACACACGUGUUACAAUGGGGGGUACAGAAAGCCGGCUGCCCGCAAGGUCAGUCCAAUCAAGAAAGCCUCCCUCAGUUCGGACUGGGGUCUGCAACCCGACCCCACGAAGCUGGAUUCGCUAGUAAUCGCGCAUCAGCCAUGGCGCGGUGAAUACGUUCCCGGGCCUUGUACACACCG